CUUUCAUCAAUGGCAGGUAUGUAUUAUUAUAAUUAACAUUUUUAUUUGAUUCAAGAUAUCUUCUCCUUGAUAUGACUGUGAUUCUAUGUCCGUAUGUCUAAGGAAUUUAUGUAAUCAGUUUCAAAUAGUAAGUUGUCCACUUAUGAAAUUUAUGCCCAAGGUUCUCAAACAGAAGUUAAAAUAUUGAACCAACAAGAACCGUCGGGAGACGGUAACCGCUUUCCUGGUCCUGGUAGACGGAUUGUUGAUCAAGAACCCCCGAGAGAAAGCAUUAAAGAAGAGCUUCCUCCAGUGAAUAUGCAUAGGUCCCAGAUUGGUGACAAUACUGUUACGGCAGGCCGGAACAGUCGGGAUGUUGGAGCGUCAAACUUUGAUAAUGUACAAGGUCCAGAGCAAGCCCAACGUGAUGGUUACGACAUUCGUGGCAAUACAGUUACUGGAGGUGAAGGAGCCAGUCGUAUUGGAUUUCACAACUUUGGCAACACCACACCUGGCUGGAACUGUAGGAUCCUGUAGUUUGGGAGAAAAAGAAGCUGAAUCGAAGUUAGCAUAAACCAAUUGAAGAAGGACAUGAUCAAUAAAAAGAAAAACGUAGUCUGUUCUUCCAUGCUUUAAUUUUUCAUUUUUCAUUUUAGCUUUAAGGUUAAUGGUGUGUAUUCGAUGUACGAAAAUAAGAGCUGAUACAGCAAAGAUCUAGGCAAGUUCAAAAUAUCAAGAAAUGGCAUCUGCAAUUCUGAUCAGUCUUGUCCAUUCUUCUGUCAUCACUUCCUGUAAUGUUUUC
rnacentral:lncRNA from 1 species